ACACAGUCAUGCUUUUCAUUUGAACCAAGCUAUGCUGUCUUUGGGUUUUUCUUAGCUGGAACACCUUGCCUUAUGUGGUUAGCUGUCUGAGUCCCAUAUGUAGUCAUGCCAUGGCAUUGUAUGGGGGUGCAGUUGCCUGAGCAUGCCCACUGUUGUGAUGAAAGCAGUGAGUUGCAGUAUGCAAGGGAACCUUGUGCUUGCGACUGUAAUGGCAACGAGGACGUUGCAGCUUUGAAAGACCGGGGAAAUGUAAGGGAUUUGUGUUCGUUACCGAGUACGUAUGGUUUGUCUUUGAUCGGUACGACUCUGUGUCGUGCAAGGCUUUGCCAGACUAUUUAAGGCAUUCCUACACCAUUAUUUGUAAGCUUAGUAUUCUUCUCUUCCUUGUCUCUCAGUCAGCGAUUGAUGUCGGGCUCUGCAGAUCGGGCAAGUUAGGAACUAAUGCUUCCUCCAGUCGCCAACUGGAGCCAGUUCCUUUCACACUGACGCAGCCGUC
rnacentral:lncRNA from 1 species